rnacentral:rRNA from 1 species
GACGAACGCUGGCGGCGUGCUUAACACAUGCAAGUCGAACGGAAAGGCCCUGCUUUUGUGGGGUGCUCGAGUGGCGAACGGGUGAGUAACACGUGAGUAACCUGCCCUUGACUUUGGGAUAACUUCAGGAAACUGGGGCUAAUACCGGAUAGGAGCUCCUGCUGCAUGGUGGGGGUUGGAAAGUUUCGGCGGUUGGGGAUGGACUCGCGGCUUAUCAGCUUGUUGGUGGGGUAGUGGCUUACCAAGGCUUUGACGGGUAGCCGGCCUGAGAGGGUGACCGGCCACAUUGGGACUGAGAUACGGCCCAGACGCGUACGGGAGGCAGCAGUGGGGAAUAUUGCACAAUGGGCGGAAGCCUGAUGCAGAAACGCCGCGUGCGGGAUGACGGCCUUCGGGUUGUAAACCGCUUUCGCCUGUGACGAAGCGUGAGUGACGGUAAUGGGUAAAGAAGCACCGGCUAACUACGUG